rnacentral:rRNA from 1 species
CCUACGGGAGGCAGCAGUGGGGAAUAUUGCACAAUGGGGGAAACCCUGAUGCAGCGACGCCGCGUGAGUGAGGAAGUAUUUCGGUAUGUAAAGCUCUAUCAGCAGGGAAGAAAAUGACGGUACCUGACUAAGAAGCCCCGGCUAACUACGUGCCAGCAGCCGCGGUAAUACGUAGGGGGCAAGCGUUAUCCGGAUUUACUGGGUGUAAAGGGAGCGUAGACGGAAUAGCAAGUCUGAUGUGAAAACCCGGGGCUCAACUCCGGGAGUGCAUUGGAAACUGUUGAUCUAGAGUGUCGGAGAGGCAAGCGGAAUUCCUAGUGUAGCGGUGAAAUGCGUAGAUAUUAGGAGGAACACCAGUGGCGAAGGCGGCCUGCUGGACAUUAACUGACGCUGAGGCGCGAAAGCGUGGGGAGCAAACAGGAUUAGAUACCCUAGUAGUC